AACGAACGCUGGCGGCGCGCCUAAUACAUGCAAGUCGAGCGAGGAAGACGUAGCAAUACGUUUGUAAAGCGGCGAACGGGUGAGGAAUACAUGGGUAACCUACCCUCGAGUGGGGAAGUAACUAGACCGAAAGGUUAGCUAAUACCGCGUACGCGUCCUUGGACUUCGGUUCAGGGAGGAAAGCGAUACCGUGGGUAUCGCGCUCUUGGAUGGGCUCAUGUCCUAUCAGCUUGUUGGUGAGGUAACGGCUCACCAAGGCUUCGACGGGUAGCUGGUCUGAGAGGACAAUCAGCCACACUGGCACUGCGACACGGGCCAGACUCCUACGGGAGGCAGCAGUAAGGAAUAUUGCGCAAUGGGCGAAAGCCUGACGCAGCGACGCCGCGUGGGGG
rnacentral:rRNA from 1 species